AGAGUUUGAUCCUGGCUCAGAACGAACGCUGGCGGCAUGCCUAACACAUGCAAGUCGAACGAACCCUUCGGGGUUAGUGGCGCACGGGUGCGUAACGCGUGGGAAUCUGCCCUUUGCUUCGGAAUAACAGUUAGAAAUGACUGCUAAUACCGGAUGAUGUCUUCGGACCAAAGAUUUAUCGGCAAAGGAUGAGCCCGCGUAGGAUUAGGUAGUUGGUGGGGUAAAGGCCUACCAAGCCGACGAUCCUUAGCUGGUCUGAGAGGAUGAUCAGCCACACUGGGACUGAGACACGGCCCAGACUCCUACGGGAGGCAGCAGUGGGGAAUAUUGGACAAUGGACGCAAGUCUGAUCCAGCAAUGCCGCGUGAGUGAUGAAGGCCUUAGGGUUGUAAAGCUCUUUUACCAGGGAUGAUAAUGACAGUACCUGGAGAAUAAGCUCCGGCCAACUCCGUGCCAGCAGCCGCGGUAAUACGGAGGGAGCUAGCGUUGUUCGGAAUUACUGGGCGUAAAGCGCACGUAGGCGGUUACUCAAGUCAGAGGUGAAAGCCCGGGGCUCAACCCCGGAACUGCCUUUGAAACUAGGUAACUAGAAUCCUGGAGAGGUGAGUGGAAUUCCGAGUGUAGAGGUGAAGUUCGUAGAUAUUCGGAAGAACUCCAGUGGCGAAGGCGGCUCACUGGACAGGUAUUGACGC
rnacentral:rRNA from 1 species